rnacentral:rRNA from 1 species
GUAAUAGCUCACUGGUCGAGUCGGCCCGCGCGGAAGAUGUAACGGGGCUAAACCAUGCACCGAAGCUGCGGCAGCGACACAAAGUGUUGUUGGGUAGGGGAGCGUUCUGUAAGCCUGCGAAGGUGUACUGUGAGGUAUGCUGGAGGUAUCAGAAGUGCGAAUGCUGACAUAAGUAACGAUAAUGCGGGUGAAAAACCCGCACGCCGGAAGACCAAGGGUUCCUGUCCAACGUUAAUCGGGGCAGGGUGAGUCGACCCCUAAGGCGAGGCUGAAAAGCGUAGUCGAUGGGAAACGGGUUAAUAUUCCCGUACUGGUGGUAACUGCGAUGGGGGAACGGAGAAGGCUAGGUUGUCCGGGCGACGGUCGUCCCGGUUCAAGCAGGUAGGCAGAGUGAUUAGGCAAAUCCGGUCACUUAAUGCUGAGAUGUGAUGACGAACCACUAAGGUGGUGAAGCAAUUGAUGCCCCGCUUCCAGGAAAAGCCUCUAAGCUUCAGGUUACCAACAAUCGUACCCCAAACCGACACAGGUGGUCAGGUAGAGAAUACUCAGGCGCUUGAGAGAACUCGGGUGAAGGAACUAGGCAAAAUGGUGCCGUAACUUCGGGAGAAGGCACGCUGGCGGUAGGUAAAGUCCCUCGCGGACAGAGCUGAAGCCAGUCGAAGAUACCAGCUGGCUGCAACUGUUUAUUAAAAACACAGCACUGUGCAAACACGAAAGUGGACGUAUACGGUGUGACGCCUGCCCGGUGCUGGAAGGUUAAUUGAUGGGGU